CGGUUUGUACGUUUUGCACAGCGUCUGUCGAGGCAGAGAGCAGAAAGAGAUGCGAAUCAAGGAGCAACACAUCCUAUCUGCAAAGAUGCUGGGACUGUCCCUUAUACUCAGACUUGUAUCACUGUUGCUUCAAAGUUGCUGGAUUAAAAUCUCCAAGUUCUCUACUGA